UGUUUGCUUUGUUUGUUUGUGUGUGUGUGUCUGUGUGUGCUUUUUGGUAUUGUUUUUGUUCUUUUUUUCUGCCCACUAAAUACGGCAAUCUCUUCCACAUAAUGCAAUGUCACACUGUCUCCCAUGGGGUGGUUUGGGAAGUGUGGAUCAGAUGGACCGACAGUGAGGUAGGCUGAUACCUGGAUGAACAAAAAUGCUCAGAGGGUUGUGAUCAAUAGUGCAGGGUGCUAGUGGUGCUCUCCAGAGUCAAUAUUGAUUCUGGUCUUGUUCUGCAUCUUCAUCGAUGGCUUGGAUGAAGGGACAGAGUGCAAUCUGAGCAAAUCUGCUGAUGAUACCAAACUGGGAGGAGUGGCUGAUGCUCCAUCAGGCUGUGCUGACAUUCAGCCAAACCUGGACAGGCUGGAGAGAUGGGCAGAAGGGAACCUCAUAAAAUCCAACAAGGGCAAGUGUAGGGUCCUGCACCUGGGGAGGAAUAACCCCCUGCACCAGUUCAGGUGAGAGGGUGACCUGCUGGAAAGCAGCUCCAUCAAGAAGGAUCUGGGAGUGCUGGUGGACAAAAAGUUUGCCAUUUUUGGACCAUUGACUGAGCUGCUUCAGAAGAUAAAACCUUAAGUAAGCUUGUGAACAGAAGAGAGUCUGUAGCGUCUCCUUCUCUGGAGACUUUCAAAACCCAACUGGGCAUUGUGAUUCUGUACAGUUUGUUGUGGAAGACCCUGCUUUUGCAGAGGGGUUGGACUAGGUGAUCUUCACGGGUUCCUUCCAAGCUUCUCCAUCCUGCAAUUCUGUGAUUGCCCAUGCCCACCUGAGGGACACAUGCUCAUGUUUGCUGGAGAAGCUCCUCUCAGCUUCCUCCAAGUAUAUCUGUUUGUGGUCUUGCCAUGUGCUGGCUGGGGCUGUGCAGGUGUGCAAAGUGUUGUGUCCAGUCACAUACUGUCUCAUAUUCAUAGAGAUGAGCAAAAGGGAUCUGAAGCAUGGCCCUUUUCUAAGCACAGAAAUAACUCCUUGCAGCUGUCCCUCAAGAGCAAGAUACAUCAGUGUGAAGCACCACUAUGUGCUGUGUAGGUGACUUGCACAGAGCAGGAAGCUGCAAAUUACCCUAGCAGCAGCAACACAAACUCUGCCUUCUGUAGCUGUGGGAGUCAGAAGACAUAAGAAUUCCCAGUGAGUUCACCAUGCAGCCCUGGGCCUGUGACCAUCUGCUCAUAAUGAGGUCCAACCCUCCACAACUACCCAAAUUUGCCUGGAGUCAUCAAAAUGUCAGCUUCCAAGCCCAGCAGCCUUCUUCUCUGUCCUGUGGUCCAAUGCAAGAUGCCCCUGCUGCUUUUUCACACAGAAAAGGUGUACAUGGUCCUCAAGAUGAUGUUUUGGCACAAAUGGUAGACCCAGGGACUUGCUUGGUGGAUAGCGGAUGCCUCUGCGACUGAACAAAGUUCACAGCUCACUGGAAGCAUCACAGCUUUGUAGCAGGCAGAUUUUAGAGGUCCAAGCUUCCAGGCUGAGUGGCAUUUUGUCAUCUUCAUGAUCCCUGCCAGCAAGAGAUGUGCUCUCAUUUCAUAUGCACAGUGACCGACUUGGAUGUCCCUCCUUCAGCCUCCCCAAGGUUUCAGAGGUGGGAAGAUGUUUUGUGUAUGCUGUGGCAUGUCUCUGUACUCUUUGUGAGUACGUUGGUAUGUCUCCUGCUCCCCAGAAAGGUGGCGUAUGAGUUCUUGGUCUGUGACACUGAUCUACU